AUGAUUCAGCAGUCUCACUCCUGGACAUAUAUCCAGACAAAACCAUAAUUCAAAAAGAUACAUGCACUGCUGUGCUUAUUGCAGCACAACUCUCAAUAGCCAAGAUGUGGAAGCAACCUAAGUGUCCAUCAACAGCUGAAUGGAUAAAGAAGAUGUAAAUACAUUCAAAUGGAAUACUACUCAGCCAUAAAAAGAAUGAAAAUAGUGCCAUUCGCAGCAACAUGGAUGAACCUAGAGAUUAAUAUAGGUUCUUACUAGGCGAAGUAAGUCAGAAAGAGAAAGGCAAACAUACGCUAUUACUUAAAUGUAGAAUCUAAAAUGUGACACAUAUGAGCUUAUCUAUGAAACACAAACAGACUCACAAACAUAGAGAACAGACUUGUGAUUCCCAAGGAGGAGGAGGGGCAGGGGAGGGAUGAAUUGGGAGUUUGGGAUUACAGAUGCAAAGCAUUUUAUAUAGAAUGGAUAAACAACAAGGACCUACUGUAUAGCACAAGGAGCUAUAUUUAAUAUCCUAUAAUAAACCAUAAGGGGAAAAAUAUAUUCUCUUUGUUUGGGGAGAGGGGCGCACCCGAGGCAUAUGGAGGUCCCCAGGCUAGAGGUCAAAUUGGAGCUGUAGCUGCCAGCCUAUACCAGAGCCACAGCAACACAGGAUCCGAGCUGCAUCUGCAACCUACACUGUGGCUCACGGCAAUGCCAGAUCCUUGAGCCACUCUGGGAGACCAGGGGUCGAACCUGCAUCCUCAUGGAUACUAGUUGGGUUCAUUAACUGCUGAGCCACCAUGGGAACUCCAGGGGCUAUAGGACCACUUUCCUGUGUCCCAUUGUCUGUGUCUCUCUACUCAGCUGAUGUGAGAGUUAGACAGACCUCGCUGUCAAUCACCACUGAGGUCUUUUCUCUCAGCCGUGGCAUUUCCAGGCCCAAGUAUCAAAAGUCAGGCUGACAGCCCUGGCAGCUUGGGGAAAGAGCACAAGAGGCUUUUUAACAGGCUUAAGCCCUGGUUUUGACAUGCAAUCUCAGCUAAGCAACAGCUGGAUGGCUAUAGACCAGACUCAAACAUCUGCCUUCUUCUCUAGGUAUUAGCACAAGCUUCUUUGCUAAUACUAUUAUUAAGGAAUUAUCAGUAUUUUACAAGUGCUGUCUCUUCCUAAAACGAUGGCUAAAGUCAUACAGGACAGGACCUCAGUAGUCAAGACACAACAAGGCAAGGUCUUAUUCUCACCUCUCCUCUCCUCUCAAGGUCAUUAUACUGAUCUGAUUAUCUUAAGGAAGCAAAUUCUGGUUUCAAAAGCCACCUCUGCUCUGUCUUUGCACUAACUCACUUAGAGGCUUUAACCCAGAGUCUAUAAGUAAACCACUUCAAAUACCUGAGAGGGUGCCAGGCAGUGUUCUUGUUGUACACUAGAAACCUGGGCUCUGGUUACCUUAUGGUAUAAAGAAAAUUAGAAAAAGGCUUUGGGGAGUUCCCAUUGUGGUACAGCAGAAAUGAAUCCAACUAGGAACCAUGAGGUUGUGGGUUAAAUCCCUGGCCUCACUCAGUGGGCUAAGGAUCUGGUGUUGCCCUGAUCUGUGGUGUAGGUCGCAGACGCAGCUUAGAUCUGGCAUUGCUGUGGCUGUGGUAUAGGACGGUGGCUACAGCUCCAAUAAGACCCCUAGCCUAGGAACCUCCACAUGCCACGGGUAUGGCCCUAAAAAGACAAAAAAGAAAAGAAAAAGGCUUUGGGGUAGCUCACAGAAUUGAUGGGAAUACAGAGAAACCAGGCUUGGGCAGUGUGGCUGAUUGUAUUUUCCAAAGAUGGCCUGCAACCAUAUCUCCUGCCCCACCUGCUCUUCCAGAACUUUGCCAUUCCCCCAUUAAAAGGAGGAGUCUCCCUUCUCCUUACUGAGCAGUUUUUGACACACUUGUAACCAACAGAUUGUGGCAUAACUAAAGCCAUGUGACUUCUAUGGGUGGAAGGUAAUGCAGCUUCCACUCAGUUGGAGUUCACUCAUAAAGCAUUCAGCUACUGUGCAAGCAGUCCAGCUGCUUUGACACAGCCAUGUUGUGAGGAAGCCCAAACUAUCCCACCCAGAGGCCAUACAGAGAGGACCUGAGAGCAAGUGAGGAGAGAUGAGAUGCCCAGCCCACUCUGGCUCCUCACUGACUUACACUGUCAGGACCACUCAGCCUAGCAUUCUUCAAAUCCUGACCUACAAAAAUCAUGAUAAAAACUAAAUGGCUGUUGUUUUAUUCAUUAGGUUUGGGGGGGGUUAUUUGUUACACAGUGGUAGCUAAUCAGAACAAUCAGGACUCUCUCGCUAGCUUAAUUACCUCAACUUUCCCUAGACUUUUGCAUUGCUGAGUUCCUGGUGCUAUAGGAAUGUAUGAGGAAAUGAGCAAUGAAUGAAUGGAAACCUUGAAAUUUCAGUGGCAUGCAGAUAAAUUUCUUAAGCGUAAAGUUAAUAGCCUGAAGCAAACCCCUCAAUAGUCUCUUCAUCACCCCCUGCAUUUCCUCCUCAUGCCUACUGCAAAACUAUGCCAAAGGUAUAAGAUGAUGUUUUGUCUGGGGAGGCACCAUUUUGUGACUCUAUUUUCUUUUUUAAAAUGGGGUUAUAUUUUUUAGAUGCUAAUUUUCCUAUUUUAAAAACAUUGGUUGGGAAAUUCCCCUGUGGUGCAGAGGGUUAAGGAUUCAGCAUUGCUGCAGCUGUGGCAGGUUGAACUGAGGUGCAGUUUUGAUCCCUAGCCUGGGAACUUACACAUGCUAUGGAUGCAGACAAAACAAAAAACAACAAAACCAAAAAAAAAAAAAAAA
ensembl:lncRNA